ensembl:lncRNA
UAUUUUUGUUCUUCUGUUAGAAGAUUGUGCACUGAAUGUCAGCUUUGGAGCUGGGGAACUGACCCCACAUCCAUGGCCACUGAAAGUAAUUUACUGAUUUCAUUCCACAUUUUUUUAGUGACACGGGUUGGUUUUUAUUUUAUUAAAGGAGGUGAACAGACUGGCCUCAGAGUCAGGAGCUGUGAGCGGAGGAGCAGAGCUUGCGUGGCUCCGGUGCUGGUGGUUUCCCAGCCCGGGCAGCCUCGGCAGGCCACCCGGGGAGCCGCUUCCCUGUGCUUCUCCCCAGCGCCACACUCACGCUUGCCAAGCACAGCGGUGAUGCCAGCCCGGGGGCCCAGGGACCUGCUGCGCGUACAACUGUUGGACAGGUGACUGAGUUUUCAGCCCGAGUGGAUAAGAGGGGCAGCCCGUUGCUGGGCGGGCCUCAUGCCACGGUUUCUGUCACUGCCUGCCCCCACAGGCUGCCUCAGCCAGGGCCCAAGGCUGCCGUCUAGAUCAGCAAGCAUGGCAGGUCUGCGUGGCCCACAGGUGACGGACCUUCCAAAGGGGGCUGAUGCUUUCCUCUCCACAGUACCUGACUUCGGUUCCUGUCUGCCCUGCCCCAGCCUGACAACCGCCCCUCUGACUGUGGACAGGGUCUCAGUGACGACCUCAGGGGACAAGUCACUCCCCUCAGGCUCACCAUCCAAUCCGCUAUUUUGAGGAUCAGAAACCCAAGGCUCCCGGGGAAGAAUGUACCCAGACCACACCCCAAAGCCCAUGCUCACUUUCUCCAUCUCCCAGAGCGGCCCCAAGGUGGGUGCAAGCAGAGUGGGGAGUGCCAGUCCCAAGGGCCCAUCGUGGCUGGGAGGGUGGCGUGGUGGACAAGGUGGGUGUGGGGGCCCCUGUGCUCCAAUACCACCCCGGUGACAGAGCCCCCACCCCACCCCACAGCUCCAACAGCAUUGAACUGGGGUCUGAGACUACAGUUCACACGGGAGGUGCAGCCACGUGAGAAGCAAGGAGUAAAAAGGGGGCUUCACCCCCCUCCACAGGGGACGGCUGCUUCCACAUCUAACAAAACCCCAGGGAAAGUCCCCGUGCUGGGCCUCCAGCUAGCAACCCCAGUCCCACCCCAAGCGCACAGGUCCGUGUGUGGAGCCAAGGGCCCACCGUGGGGGGCACGCACACACGGGAAGAUGAGAGCUGUGGCUGCAGAAUGAGAAUUCCUGCCCCCCCCCCCCCCCAGUCACAGCCCGCAGUUGCACAUAUUUGCAGAGACAGAAGGCAGGAAGAUCGCUAAGGCCUUUUCCCAGCAGCCGUGGCAUCAGUGAUUCCGCUCCCCUUGGGCCAGAGGAGACGAAGACUCCAUGGUCCCCGGGGCCAGGGGACACCAGGCCUCAGCCCCUCCCCGGGUUCCGCAAGUGUCUGUCCUUCUUCCCUGACCUGUGGGGGACACAGGGUGGGGGCAGGAAGAGGUCUUCAGAGGACGAUGCUGUGCAAUGAGAAGGGACCAGACCACUACCCCAGGAUGAAGUCCCCAGUCAGGGUGGCAGGAAGGCGAAGGAACCCUCUUACCCCCCGGACGCUGCAGGUCUGAGUGGGACAGAACAACUUGGGAGGAAAAAUCCCCCCUGGCCCAGGAGGGGCCGCCCAGACUAACAUGGGGUGAACACGGGCAGCUCCCCGACCUCCCAGAAGACAGGCAAGUCUCCAGAUGCUGCUCCAAGGGGAGCCAGCUGGGUGUUGAAACUGGCUGAAACAGACCCCUCCUCAGGGCCCCUGCUCCUUCG